AUUCUAAUCAAAUCCUACACCAAAUCCUUAUGAAAUCAUAAUAAAAUCCUAACUAAAAACUAAAUAAAUCCUAAUGAAGCUCUAAAUUUAUCCUCUUUAAGCCUUAAAUAUACCUUAAUCAAAUUCCAACUAAAUAUUAAACCAAAUCCUAAUCAAAUCCUAAUGAAUUUUAAUCAAAUCCUAAAUCAAAUCUUAAUGAAAUCUUAACCAAAUCUUCACCAAAUUCUGUAUUAAAUUCUAAUCUAAUCCUAAAUCAAAUCCUAUAAAAUCUUAAAUCUUAAAUCAAAUUUUAAUCAAAUCUUUAAUAAAUUCUAACUAAAUUCUAAAUUCUAAAUCAAUCCUAAUCAAAUCUUAAAUCCUUAAUUAACUCUAAUCAAUUUCUAAUCAAAUCUUAAAUCUUAAAAUAAAUUCUUAAUAAAUCCUAUAAUAGAAUGGAAUAUUAAUAAUUAAUUAUUUAACCAUUUACUUCAACUACAAAUUUGCACACUUCUCAAUAAUUAAGUUGUCAAUAAGCACAAAAAUAUUUUAA
rnacentral:lncRNA from 1 species